rnacentral:rRNA from 1 species
UGGGGAAUUUUGGACAAUGGGGGAAACCCUGAUCCAGCCAUCCCGCGUGUGCGAUGAAGGCCUUCGGGUUGUAAAGCACUUUUGGCAGGAAAGAAACGUCGCGGGUUAAUACCCCGCGGAACUGACGGUACCUGCAGAAUAAGCACCGGCUAACUACGUGCCAGCAGCCGCGGUAAUACGUAGGGUGCAAGCGUUAAUCGGAAUUACUGGGCGUAAAGCGUGCGCAGGCGGUUCGGAAAGAAAGAUGUGAAAUCCCAGAGCUUAACUUUGGAACUGCAUUUUUAACUACCGGGCUAGAGUGUGUCAGAGGGAGGUGGAAUUCCGCGUGUAGCAGUGAAAUGCGUAGAUAUGCGGAGGAACACCGAUGGCGAAGGCAGCCUCCUGGGAUAACACUGACGCUCAUGCACGAAAGCGUGGGGAGCAAACAGGAUUAGAUACCCUGGUAGUCCACGCCCUAAACGAUGUCAACUAGCUGUUGGGGUCUUCGGACCUUGGUAGCGCAGCUAACGCGUGAAGUUGACCGCCUGGGGAGUACGGUCGCAAGAUUAAAACUUAAAGGAAUUGACGGGGUCAUAGCUGUUUCC